rnacentral:rRNA from 1 species
UACCAGCACCCCGAGUGGUCGGGACGAUUAUUGGGCCUAAAGCAUCCGUAGCCGGUCAUGCAAGUCCUCCGUUAAAUCCACCUGCUUAACAGAUGGGCUGCGGAGGAUACUACAAGGCUAGGAGGCGGAAGAGGCAAGCGGUACUCAGUGGGUAGGGGUAAAAUCCUCUGAUCCAUUGAAGACCACCAGUGGCGAAGGCGGCUUGCCAAUACGCGCUCGACGGUGAGGGAUGAAAGCUGGGGAGCAACCGG